UCAAGCUACAAAGGGCGCAUGGUGAAUGCCUUGGUAUCAGGAGCCGAUGAAGGACGUGAUAAGCUGCGAUAAGCUUCGGGUAGGCGCACAUAGCCUGAGAUCCGAAGAUCUCCGAAUGAGGAAACUCACAUGGGAAACCCCAUGUAUCAUUAAGUGAAUACAUAGCUUAAUGAAGGUAACCCAGGGAACUGAAACAUCUAAGUACCUGGAGGAAGAGAAAGAAAAAUCGAUUUUCUUAGUAGCGGCGAGCGAAAGGGAAAAAGCCCAAACCGGAAACUUGUUUCCGGGGUUGUGGACAGAACAUAACGAUUGGUAGGACGUAAUCGAAGAGAACUGGAAAGUUCCACCGUAGAAGGUAAUAGUCCUGUAGAUGAAACGGGAAAUCAAUCAGUUCUGAUCCAGAGUACCACGAGACACGUGAAACCUUGUGGGAAGCAGGGAGGACCACCUCCCAAGGCUAAAUACUACCUGAUGACCGAUAGUGAAGCAGUACCGUGAGGGAAAGGUGAAAAGAACCCCGGGAGGGGAGUGAAAUAGAACCUGAAACCGUGUGCCUACAACCGCUCAGAGCCCCUUAUGAGGGUGAUGAGGUGCUUUUUGUAGAACGAGCCAACGAGUUACGGUAUGUAGCAAGGUUAAGUACUUAAGGUACGGAGCCGAAGGGAAACCGAGUCUGAAUAGGGCGACUAGUUGCAUGCCGUAGACCCGAAACCGGGUGACCUAUCCAUGGCCAGGUUGAAGCGAGGGUAAAACCUCGUGGAGGACCGAACCACGUUGCUGUUGAAAAAGCAUGGGAUGAGCUGUGGAUAGCGGAGAAAUUCCAAUCGAACCCGGAGAUAGCUGGUUCUCUCCGAAAUAGCUUUAGGGCUAGCGUCGAGUAUGAGUAGUGGAGGUAGAGCACUGAAUGGGCUAGGGGGCAUAGCGCUUACCGAACCUUAUCAAACUCCGAAUGCCACAUACUUUGAGCUCGGCAGUCAGACUACGAAUGAUAAGAUCCGUGGUCAAAAGGGAAACAGCCCAGAUCGUCAGCUAAGGUCCCAAAGUGUAAGUUAAGUGGGAAAGGAUGUGAGAUUUCUAAGACAACUAGGAUGUUGGCUUAGAAGCAGCCAUUCAUUAAAAGAGUGCGUAAUAGCUCACUAGUCGAGAGAUCUUGCGCCGAAAAUGUAACGGGGCUAAACUUACCACCGAAGCUACGGGCUUGAACUUAGUUCAAGCGGUAGGAGAGCGUCGUAACCGGGCUGAAGUCGUACCGUAAGGAGCGGUGGACUGGUUACGAGUGAGAAUGUUGGCAUCAGUAGCGAGAUGUGGGUGAGAAUCCCACAGGCCGAAAACCUAAGGUUUCCUCAGGAAGGUUCGUCCGCUGAGGGUUAGUCGGGACCUAAGCCGAGGCCGAAAGGCGUAGGUGAUGGACAACUGGUUGAUAUUCCAGUACCACUACCAUCGUUAUUAUCGAUGGCGUGACGCAGGAGGAUAGUGUGUGCUAGCUAUUGGAUGCUAGUCUAAGCGUUUAGGCAGUGAGAGUAGGCAAAUCCGCUCUCAUAAUGCUGAGGCGUGAUGGGGAAGGUUCUACGGAACCGAAGUACAUGAUUCCACGCUGCCAAGAAAAGCGUCUAGAGAGAGAAGUAGUGCCCGUACCGCAAACCGACACAGGUAGGUGAGGAGAGAAUCCUAAGGCCGGCGGAAGAAUUACAGUUAAGGAACUCGGCAAAUUGACCCCGUAAGUUCGCGAGAAGGGGUGCCUACGAGAGUAGGCCGCAGAGAAUAGGCCCAAGCAACUGUUUAGCAAAAACACAGGUCUCUGCUAAAGCGUAAGCUGAUGUAUAGGGGCUGACGCCUGCCCGGUGCUGGAAGGUUAAGGGGAACACUUAGCGUAAGCGAAGGUGUGAACUUAAGCCCCAGUAAACGGCGGCCGUAACUAUAACGGUCCUAAGGUAGCGAAAUUCCUUGUCAGGUAAGUUCUGACCCGCACGAAUGGCGUAAUGACUUGGGCACUGUCUCAACUGUAAAUCCGGCGAAGUUGUAGUGCGAGUGAAGAUGCUCGCUACCCGCGAUUGGACGGAAAGACCCCGUAGAGCUUUACUGUAGCUUAGCAUUGAGUUUUGGUAUUGUCUGUACAGGAUAGGUGGGAGACUAGGAAACCAGGGCGUCAGCCUUGGUGGAGUCAACCUUGGGAUACCACCCUGACAGUACUGAAAUUCUAACUGGCGGCCAUGAAUCUGGUCACAGGACAUUGUUAGGUGGGCAGUUUGACUGGGGCGGUCGCCUCCUAAAAAGUAACGGAGGCGCCCAAAGGUUCCCUCAGAACGGUCGGAAAUCGUUCGAAGAGUGCAAAGGCAGAAGGGAGCCUGACUGCGACACCCACAAGUGGAGCAGGGACGAAAGUCGGGCUUAGUGAUCCGGUGGUACCUCGUGGGAGGGCCAUCGCUCAACGGAUAAAAGCUACCUCGGGGAUAACAGGCUGAUCUCCCCCAAGAGUCCACAUCGACGGGGAGGUUUGGCACCUCGAUGUCGGCUCGUCGCAUCCUGGGGCUGAAGUAGGUCCCAAGGGUUGGGCUGUUCGCCCAUUAAAGCGGCACGCGAGCUGGGUUCAGAACGUCGUGAGACAGUUCGGUCCCUAUCCGUCGCGGGCGUAGGAAAUUUGAGAGGAGCUGUCCUUAGUACGAGAGGACCGGGAUGGACUGACCUCUGGUGUACCAGUUGUUCCGCCAGGAGCACAGCUGGGUAGCUAAGUCGGGAAUGGAUAAACGCUGAAAGCAUCUAAGCGUGAAGCCAACCUCAAGAUGAGAUUUCCCAUAGCAUAAGCUAGUAAGAUCCCUUGAAGAACACAAGGUUGAUAGGUCGGGGGUGUAAGCAUGGUAACAUGUUCAGCUGACCGAUACUAAUAGAUCGAGGGCUUGACCAA
rnacentral:rRNA from 1 species